rnacentral:lncRNA from 14 species
UGGGUCCACGCAGUGGUAUCUGUGCUGAUGGCAAACCCUUUGUGCUUGCAGAAGACUACCUGCAAGGUGAUGAUGCCUACGUGUAAGUAGCUGGGUGCUGCCCACCAUGAAUGGAGCAGAGCUGUACUGGUCCCAGUGCAGCCCUAUCUGUCUUCUAGCUCAGACUAUGGGCAAGAGGAGCUAAUUCUGGCUGCUCUCCCUGCAGGGAGCCUAUAUCUCUGGAUUACUACAACAGUGCCACGUUCUUCACACCACCCAAUGAAAAAGAGGAGGAUUCCCAUUCCUACCAAAACGUCAUCAUUGGAGCACCUCAGGGCUUGGACGUGGGUAGGUGCUGCUGUUGUGGUUCAUGUAUGUCACACAAAGCUAUCUGGGAGUGCAGAGGGGGGGAUGACCUGCUCAGCUCAGGAAACCCUCCCCAUUCA